GUCUGAGGGCAGGCCACCAAAUGCUUUCCUAGGAAAUAACAAGCCUUCCUUCUCAGGUUGCUCAAGCCGAGGCUAGGAAGGUUCUAGUUCACACGGUAGGAAAGCUUUGGGUGGGAAGUUUGAAUCCAGAUAGAUCUGUCUGCUCUCCCUUACAAAGCGGCCCAGAAAGUCUCCACGGCGCCCCGCAGUGAACGUUAUAGGCCACCAGGUGGCGCUGCGAACUUGGAAAAGCCGCGAUCCAUCCGAGGCCGCGGGGUCUACGGGCUGACCCUGCAGGGCCCGGGGCGUGGCCAGCAGAGAUGGAAGGCGUGCUCCAGCUCCUGGGGUCUUUCCAGCACUGUGACUUGGCUGGCUGGAUGAUGCCCUGGAGCUCCGGGAUAUCAGCCCAAAAGGGUCCAGGCUUUGAAGAUCGUGGCUGGGACGCGGUCUGGUGUAGCAUCCCGCCUCACUGCCAGCGCCUGCCUCAGGUGUCCUACUUGGUUGCUACCUGGGAUGCUAGGGUAUGGCAGGCAUCCCGCGCCCAGUCAGUUAGAAGUUUGUGCCCAGGUAAGGGACAGAUGGUGCAAGCAGUCACUCCAUCUGAGGCAUUCUCUAAGGUGACGAAAGAGGGAAGAUGAUCCUAGACCAGCAGAGAAGAGGCACAUGCGGUUUGGGUGAUAUAUGCAGUUUGGGGUGACACACCCUUCGCAGACUGAAGGAGCGCGGCUGGGUAAGCACUGGGGGUGGAAAGGGAUGGAGUACCCCGUCCUGCUUAGAUCAUCCCAGUCCUGAGCUCCUUGACUUCUGCAGAGAUCAAGCAAGGUUUGAAAACCCUCAUUGUCAAAUAUAAGUCUUUCCUUCCCAUGGGCAAUGGAAUCUGUGGGGAUCCAGAUGAGCCAGGUGGAUGGUGCUCUUUUGCCAGAGGCUUCCCAUCUCUAGCCAGGCCGGUGGCAAUAAGAACCCUCCUGCAGGUGUCCUUCAGUUCUCUACGCAGCAGCAGUGGACACUGAGUGGCUGCUGUGUGACCUCUGGCAGGGGUCACAUCUGGCUUUGUUGCUAUCUGUUAGUUAGCUGUGGCGAGUGCAGCUCCAAGUGGUGAGGGGGCAGAGAGUCACAGGACUACUCAGGUGUCCUGUGGCACCUUGGCAAAUUCAGGUGGACCCGCUCUAGACCAAGCAGGGGCAUAAAAGGGCAAUGGAGGAUGAGGAGACGCUUCAGCCGCAUCUGUCCUCCUCGCGGGAGUGGCGUCCAGGGUUAUACUGCUGUGAAGAGAACCAUGAACAAGGUGACUCAUAAAGAAAAACAUCUGGCUGAGGCUGGCUUACAGUUUCAGAAGGAAAAGAUGGUGGCCAUCCGGAAAACCAACCACAUCUCCCACCCUCAACGUGAUGUCGUCCUGGCAGCCUCUGCUCCUUUCAACAUCCAUGUGUUUAUUAAAGUGCACACACUUACUGUUUUUUGGUGGGCAGUAUGCUGAGGACUUAGCCCAUGAGCUAAGUUCAAAACUCUCCCAGUAAACUACUCCCAAUAAACUCCAACCCAGGGAUGAGAACUGUGCACUUUAUCUGCAGUGAUGACUCCAGAAGACAAGAAAACAGCUAGCACCUCAAGACAAAUGGGUAGAAACUGCCAGAGUAACAUGGACAUUAUUUAGCAGCUAGCACCAGUUCCUCACAAAGGUUAUACUGGUUCACUGAGCCCAAGUAUUAGUAGGCUAUUUAAAUCUACAUUUGGAAAAACUUAGAAGACAUGGGUACGUUAUCUCCGAUACUCUUAUUAAUAUUUUUUCUAAACUUUGUUUUUAACUUUAACAACCUGAAACACUUCCUGCUUGUCCUGAGUAUGCAUAAGGAAUUUACCUGCCUUUUAAGUAAAGCAGCUAUGUUAUUACCCUCAAUCUUAAGGGUUCUUUGAGUGUAAUUUUCACAGUCUUUACAUUUUUACUGUCAUUGUUUAUUACUGUUUGGCUACAUUCUCUAUAAUUCCAGCAGCAUCUUAAACAGACAGUGUGUCUAUGUACAAUGAAAACAAACAAACGAAAUGGCUUGCAACACCAGGUAAGAGCCACAGUGUAACUGUACAUGUUAGGGGCGGCUGGCAGGGAUAGCCUGUUGUCUGCACCAUGGACAACUUACAUGUAAGUCUCGGCAUUAUGAAUUUGACAA